rnacentral:rRNA from 1 species
UAACACAUGCAAGUCGAGCGGUAGCACAGGAGAGCUUGCUCUCUGGGUGACGAGCGGCGGACGGGUGAGUAAUGUCUGGGAAACUGCCUGAUGGAGGGGGAUAACUACUGGAAACGGUAGCUAAUACCGCAUAACGUCGCAAGACCAAAGAGGGGGACCUUCGGGCCUCUUGCCAUCAGAUGUGCCCAGAUGGGAUUAGCUAGUAGGUGGGGUAAUGGCUCACCUAGGCGACGAUCCCUAGCUGGUCUGAGAGGAUGACCAGCCACACUGGAACUGAGACACGGUCCAGACUCCUACGGGAGGCAGCAGUGGGGAAUAUUGCACAAUGGGCGCAAGCCUGAUGCAGCCAUGCCGCGUGUGUGAAGAAGGCCUUCGGGUUGUAAAGCACUUUCAGCGAGGAGGAAGGUGGUGANCUUAAUACGNUCAUCAAUUGACGUUACUCGCAGAAGAAGCACCGGCUAACUCCGUGCCAGCAGCCGCGGUAAUACGGAGGGUGCAAGCGUUAAUCGGAAUUACUGGGCGUAAAGCGCACGCAGGCGGUUUGUUAAGUCAGAUGUGAAAUCCCCGGGCUCAACCUGGGAACUGCAUUUGAAACUGGCAAGCUAGAGUCUCGUAGAGGGGGGUAGAAUUCCAGUGUGUAGCGGUGAAAUGCGUAGAGAUCUGGAGGAAUACCGGUGGCGAAGGCGGCCCCCGUGGACGAAGACUGACGCUCAGGUGCGAAAGCG